UACGAAGGGGGCUAGCGUUGCUCGGAAUUACUGGGCGUAAAGCGCACGUAGGCGGCUCUUUAAGUCGGGGGUGAAAUCCUGGAGCUCAACUCCAGAACUGCCUUCGAUACUGAAGAGCUCGAGUCCGGGAGAGGUGAGUGGAACUGCGAGUGUAGAGGUGAAAUUCGUAGAUAUUCGCAAGAACACCAGUGGCGAAGGCGGCUCACUGGCCCGGUACUGACGCUGAGGUGCGAAAGCGUGGGGAGCAAACAGGG
rnacentral:rRNA from 1 species